rnacentral:rRNA from 1 species
CACGUAGGGUGCGAGCGUUGUCCGGAAUUAUUGGGCGUAAAGAGCUCGUAGGCGGUGUGUCGCGUCGGCCGUGAAAACCUGCAGCUUAACUGUGGGCUUGCGGUCGAUACGGGCAUCACUGGAGUUCGGCAGGGGAGACUGGAAUUCCUGGUGUAGCGGUGAAAUGCGCAGAUAUCAGGAGGAACACCGGUGGCGAAGGCGGGUCUCUGGGCCGGCAUUGACGCUGAGGAGCGAAAGCCAGGGGAGCAAACGGG